UCUUUUCUACUUAUUUAAAAUCAUUUUCUCUUUCAACCACUUCUCUUAUCAGGCUUCUCGUUGUUCAUAUUAAACUUUACUAUCGUGAUAUUGUACACUGAGAGACGCUUGCGCAGCCCGGUCAGUUUUAUUGUUUUGUAUCGUCUGGUCGACUCACUGACUACCAACUAUCAGACAAGGCUUAGCUGUUUUAUUUUGGUUAAUCCAUUCUCGUACAGCCUGAAAUUCAAGUAGAACUUAAAGAUUCUGAGAAAAUAUAAAUGAUGCAAGGUAAACGUACAGUACCAAAACUUUGGGACAUCAAAUGGUUCACAGUUCUCAUUUUAUCAUUUUGUCUUUCCAAUGUAAAAUGUCAGAACACAAGCGUCUCUGUCCCCACAACAUCAUCAGUGACCACAGAUAGUGUCAAUACUAUUAUAUCUACUUCAUUCUCCUCCAUAACCAAUGGACAAACCACAAAUACAGUGGCUUCAACAAAUUCAGUUACAUCACCUUCCUCUAUUCUUGGCUCAACAUCAGAAAUUACUACUCCUUCUACUAUUACUAUUACUUCUUCUCUUUCUUCUCUUUUUUUUUCUUCUUCUUCAUCUUCUUCUUCUUCUUCUUCUUC
rnacentral:lncRNA from 1 species